AAAGCGCCUGCGCUGAACCAGUUUCUCGGCGCCAUUUUGUCUGGGCAGCGGUGGCUGCAGGUCUACUGCAUUUUAUGUUUCUGGCGAGACGAGAGUGGAAUCUUCAUCCCGUGGAUUCAUUUAACUGCCGCAACCAUCCACCGUUCCCUCCAGGACAGCACCUAGUGAAGAUCGGAAGAGUAGCGAUCUGUGAGAAAGUUGGUCUGAAGAAAAGGGGACAGUUAAGUGACAAACAUCCGGAAGUAUUACUGAGAGGAAGCCUUGCUUUGUGGAAUAAUGAAGGAAAGUGUUCCAGUUUUUAAAUGACUUGGAUCUGCUCUCUGUUGAAAUUGUAUUUCUGGUUUGGGAACUUCCAGAGGGCCUUGAAAGCUGGGAUAUGAGCAGAAAAUGAAGCUGAUUUUUCACAGAUCUGCCCGCCCUCCAAUCUUCUCAUCUUCAGUGGUCCAAAUUUGUGAAAAGUUGGGCCAGUACUAAGGGUACAUCUGCCAAUAACAGAAUCUACAAACCGCCUGGCUCGACUGGUUAUUGAACCCAUAAUCUCACUCUUAUGAUCCAUUGUAGACAUCUAAAGUUUUGCAUUGAAUCUUUACUAUCACUUGGUUGCUGCUGACUCUUAAACCAAUCAGUCUACUAAAGGCCUCUCACUGUUGUGGCCUCUCCCAUCGUGGAGCACAGGCUCCGGACGCGCAGGCUCAGCGGCCAUGGCUCACGGGCCCAGCCGCUCUGCGGCAUGUGGGAUCUUCCCGGACCAGGGCACGAACCCAUGUCCCCUGCAUCGGCAGGCGGACUCUUAACCACUGCACCACCAGUGAAGCCCUGAGGUUCCUUUGAGAAUGAUAGUAAUGAAAGCAAAGGGAUAGUCUUAUCAGAUAAGUGCGUUUUUAUCUGAAUGUAUUCGUUUUUUUCCAUAAGAUGGCUUUAGUAGCGCUUAGUUGUCUUUAACUUCAUUCGAAACAAUUUUGUUAGAUUGCAUCGUGACAGCUGUUGUAUCGCGUACAUUUUUUUUAAAAAGCAUCAAAAUUGGUGAAUUUUUGUGUAGCCAUUUUAAUAUUGAAGAUGGAAGGAAAAAAAGCAACAGCAUAUUAUGCUUCAUUAUUUCAAGAAAGGUAAAAACACAACUGAGAAGGCAAAAAAAGAUUUGUGCAGUGUAUGGAAAAGGUGCUGUGACUGAACGUGUCAAAAGUGGUUUGCAAAGUUUUGUGGUAGAGAUUUCUGGCUGGACGAUGCUCCAUGGUCGGGGAGACCAGUUCAAGUUGAUGGCAAUCAAAUCCAGACGUAAAUUUCAGAACAAUCAACGUUAAACUACGCAGGAGAUAAGCCCACACUCAAAAUCUCCAAAUCAGGUGUUGAAAAUCAUUUGCACCAGCUUGGUUAUGUUAAUCGCUUUGAUGUUUGGUUCCACGUUAAGCGAAAGAAACCUUCUUGACCAUAUUUCUGCACUGCAAUUCUCUACUUACGUAACAGAAACAUUCCGUUUUUAAAAACAAAUUGUGAUGGGCAAUGAAAAUUGGAUACUGUACAAUAAUGUGGAAUAGAAGAGAUGUUACAGAAGAACCCGAACGAACUUUUUUGGCCAACCCAAUAUUAUUUGUAAUCUCUAAACCAAAACUUUAUUCUUUAAAACGUUUGUAAUUUUCUUUCCUAGGUACCAGUAUCGAGGUUUACAGUAAUAAGGUAUUCAGUCUUUGCUGAAAAUAAAUUUGUUAUCUUGUCAAAGUAAAAUGUGCCAGCCAUUUUUUUCCCCCAGAGGCUAGUCAUGCCUCAGUGG